rnacentral:rRNA from 1 species
CCUACGGGAGGCAGCAGUGAGGAAUAUUGGUCAAUGGACGAGAGUCUGAACCAGCCAAGUAGCGUGAAGGAUGACUGCCCUAUGGGUUGUAAACUUCUUUUGCCGGGGAGCAAGGGCGGGGACGUGUCCCGGCCCGGAGAGUACCCGGAGAAAAAGCAUCGGCUAACUCCGUGCCAGCAGCCGCGGUAAUACGGAGGAUGCGAGCGUUAUCCGGAUUUAUUGGGUUUAAAGGGUGCGCAGGCGGAUUGUUAAGUCAGCGGUCAAAUCGUGGGGCUCAACCCCAUCCAGCCGUUGAAACUGGGGAUCUAGAGUGUGCGAGAGGUAUGCGGAAUGCGUGGUGUAGCGGUGAAAUGCAUAGAUAUCACGCAGAACCCCGAUUGCGAAGGCAGCAUACCGGUGCACAACUGACGCUCAGGCACGAAAGCGUGGGUAUCGAACAGGAUUAGAUACCCCGGUAGUC